GAUGAACGCUGGCGGCGUGCCUAAUACAUGCAAGUCGAGCGAACGGACGAGAAGCUUGCUUUUCUGAUGUUAGCGGCGGACGGGUGAGUAACACGUGGAUAACCUACCUAUAAGACUGGGAUAACUUCGGGAAACCGGAGCUAAUACCGGAUAAUAUUUUGAACCGCAGGGUUCAAAAGUGAAAGACGGUCUUGCUGUCACUUAUAGAUGGAUCCGCGCUGCAUUAGCUAGUUGGUAAGGUAACGGCUUACCAAGGCAACGAGGCAUAGCAGACCGGAGUGGGGGAUAGCCACCAUGGGAGGGGGACCACGCCCAAGACUCCUCCGGGAGGCACCAGUGGGCAACCUUCGGCAGGGGUGGGAAACGUGACGGAACGGCCCCGAGUGUGAUGUAAAGACGUCGGGUUCGUAAUACUGUUUUUUGGGGUAUAAACAUAUUUCGACUUAUAUGUACCCUUAUUGACGGUAAUUAAUAAAAAAGCCACGGCUAACUACGUG
rnacentral:rRNA from 1 species